UACGUAGGGUGCAAGCGUUAAUCGGAAUUACUGGGCGUAAAGCGUGCGCAGGCGGUUGUGCAAGACAGAUGUGAAAUCCCCGGGCUCAACCUGGGAACUGCAUUUGUGACUGCACGGCUGGAGUGCGGCAGAGGGGGAUGGAAUUCCGCGUGUAGCAGUGAAAUGCGUAGAUAUGCGGAGGAACACCGAUGGCGAAGGCAAUCCCCUGGGCCUGCACUGACGCUUAUGCACGAAAGCGUGGGGAGCAAACAAG
rnacentral:rRNA from 1 species